CCAGACUAGCUGUGUCCGUGAAGCCCUCCACUGCAGCACAGAGAGGGCCUCACUCCAGUGCUUGAAAUAUCUCGACUGUCCCGUUCCUCUUAUCUUCAGCUAGCAGCAAAACCGGGUUAUCGACUGACGGCUGAUGUUGCGACUCAGCUUCGGCCGCCGGUCAUCUCUCGGGGGGCGUCUUGGGCACUGGAAGACACACGCAGCGCAAAGACGUUGGCUGUCGAGCUGUCGAGGAGACGACGGGGGACAUCAGUCGUUGUCAUUAGCAGAAACGUGACACGGGCAAAAACAGACGGCAGGCAGGCAGCGGCGCAGAUCGGCGAGCAAAGUGAUGCUAACGACAACAACUCAGCACAUCAGAGAAGUGUGUGUGUGUGUGUGUGUGUGUGUGUGUGUGUGUGUGUGGGACGGGGCAUAUCCCCUAAAUUGUUCUGGAACGUGUCUUGAGGCAGGUGGAAUUUCUCAAGAACCGUGAUGUCGUGUUUCCAAAGUAGCGCACAAGCAAGCGAGUGUACGUGCGUAACAAACAGGAUGCUAACAGACAGGGAAGAAGAAGUGCGCUUUGAGGGGAAGAGGAAGCUGUCGUCACAGUCAGAGGAAGUAGGGCCUCCCUGCCCGACGAAUGGGGUGGAGGCAUCGUCGACUGCGGCUUCCUGUUGGACACGCAUCGCAUGUGCGCCUUUAGGACGACCGAGGUCGCGUCACGUGAGCUUCGGUUGAAACACACGCGCACAAAAAAGUCAAGUCAAGAGUAUUUCUCGAGCACUUUCAAACAGCCAUCGCUGCAUACAAAGUGCUGUACAUGGAGCGAUUUAACAUGCACAAUAAACAGUAAGACGAAUCGGUAAUAAAGGCGGUAGAAAGCACCAAGCAGUAAAAUCAAGAACAAAUCUUAAGUCAUGCUGAGUCGAACGCCAAAGAAUACAAGUGAGUUUUGAGGAGGGCUUUAGAUAUUGGUGGCGGACUGGCCUUGAGUGUGACGUGACUCACAAAAGCCUCGUUGAAGAACAAACAAUCACUCCACCCCACCCCCCAUACAAAGGAAAAAAAAAAGCCUUCCUACUCUGGUAAGAUUGUGGUGAAGGUGUGACAUCGGUAAUUACUCAACAUUUCUGUGCGUUGUCUCAACCAAGACGUGACUCAACUGCGGGUCCGGAAUGCUGACACACAAAGAGCGGGCGUAGGCGACUCACUCUCCAUUUCUACAAUGGCUCAUCGACGUCAUCUUCAUCAUCAAAAUUCCCCUCCACUUUUGACUUUUUGUGACUUGUGUGAUGACAGGAGCAAGCCCCGCCCUCCACGCCGCCCUCACACGCGCCUCUUGACAAAACAAGACGCGUUAUUGGCCACAGAGCGAGAGGCCCGGUAGUCCAGUGGUUAGCACGUCGGCUUCACAGUGCAGAGGUACCGGGUUCGAUUCCAGCUCCGGCCUCCCUGUGUGGAGUUUGCAUGUUUUCCCCCGGGCCUGCGUGGGUUUUCUCCGGGUGCUCCGGUUUCCUCCCACAUUCCAAAAA